rnacentral:tRNA from 1 species
AGAUUUAUAGUUUAAAUUAAAAUAUUUAAUUUGCAAUUAAAAGAUAAUGUAAUAUUUAAGAAUUG